CAUUAACUUCCUAUAAAUUAU
rnacentral:piRNA from 1 species